AUGCACUUCGUAUCAUAGGCUUUCUAAUUCAUUUGGAGUAGCCUUCAGCGAGGGUGCAUAAAUGAAAGCUGUUUAUUCAGCAGUGGCCAGACAACCACGAGAUGAAUCCACUGGUUAACAGCUUUUGAUGCCGUUUGCCUACUAAAUUCUUCUUACAUUU